GGCAGUGUGGCCGAGUGGUCUAAGGCGUAUGACUCGAAUUCCGCGAAAUCAUAUAUCUUCGGAUGCGUGUGUUCAAAUCACACCGCUGUCG
rnacentral:tRNA from 1 species